rnacentral:rRNA from 1 species
GAUAAACGCUGGCGGCGUGCCUUACGCAUGCAAGUCGAACGAUUCCGAUUUAUCGGGAUAGUGGCAAACGGGUGAGUAACACGUAAGUAACUUACCCCUAAGUAGGGGAUAACUCUGAGAAAUCGGAGCUAAUACCGUAUGUGGUGUUGGAGGUAAUGCUCCAUUACUAAAGCCUUCGGGUGCUUAGGGAGAGGCUUGCGUCCGAUUAGCUAGUUGGUGGAGUAAUGGUUUACCAAGGCGAUGAUCGGUAGCUGGUCUGAGAGGAUGGUCAGUCACACUGGGACUGAGACACGGCCCAGACUCCUAUGGGAGGCAGCAGCGAGGAAUUUUGUGCAAUGGGCGAAAGCCUGACACAGCGACGCCGCGUGGGGGAUGAAGGUCUUCGGGUUGUAAACCCCUUUUCUCAGGGAGGAAUAAUGACAGUACCUGAGGAAUAAGCCAUGGCUAACUACGUGCCAGCAGCCGCGGUAAUACGUAGGUGGCGAGCGUUAUCCGGAUUUACUGGGCGUAAAGCGGGUGCAGGCGGUUUUUCAAGUCGGAUGUAAAAUCUCUCAGCUUAACUGAGAGGGAUCAUUCGAUACUGCUAAGCUAGAGGACAACAGGGGGAGGUAGAAUUCCCGGUGUAGUGGUGAAAUGCGUAGAUAUCGGGAGGAAUACCAGUGGCGAAGGCGGCCUCCUGGGUUGUUUCUGACGUUCAUACCCGAAGGUGUGGGGAGCAAACAGGAUUAGAUACCCUGGUAGUCCACACUGUAAACGAUGGACACUAGGUAUAGGGAGUAUCGACCCUCUCUGUGCCAAAGCUAACGCGUUAAGUGUCCCGCCUGGGAAGUACGGCCGCAAGGCUA